AGUGAACGCUGGCGGCAGGCCUAACACAUGCAAGUCGAACGGCAGCACAGUAAGAGCUUGCUCUUACGGGUGGCGAGUGGCGGACGGGUGAGGAAUACAUCGGAAUCUACUUUUUCGUGGGGGAUAACGGAGGGAAACAUACGCUAAUACCGCAUACGACCUACGGGUGGAAGCAGGAGAGCUUCAGACCUUGCGCGAUUGAAUGAGCCGAUGUCGGAUUAGCUAGUUGGUGGGGUAAAGGCCCACCAAGGCGACGAUCCGUAGCUGGUCUGAGAGGAUGAUCAGCCACACUGGAACUGAGACACGGUCCAGACUCCUACGGGAGGCAGCAGUGGGGAAUAUUGGACAAUGGGCGCAAGCCUGAUCCAGCCAUACCGCGUGGGUGAAGAAGGCCUUCGGGUUGUAAAGCCCUUUUGUUGGGAAAGAAAAGCUGCGGGUUAAUACCCCGCUGUUCUGACGGUACCCAAAGAAUAAGCACCGGCUAACUUCGUG
rnacentral:rRNA from 1 species